CUUUUACUUAAAAGAUGCAGCUGAGCAAAAUUUGGGUAUUUUUAUUACAGUGGCAUACAUCAGAUUUACAAAAUACCUGGUAUAAACGCAACAUGCAUGUCAACAAUGGAAAAAAUAAAUAAAUAAAUUUGACAUAUACUGUGAAAAAGAUGACACAAUGUACACCAAUAUACACACACUAUUCACCAUAUUAAUUACCCUAGAAUGAAUACUGCAACGUGUAUGUAAAAAAUGCAAAAAUAUUUUUUUUCCCGCAAAACAUAAAAUAACCUUUUGAAAACAUUGUGGCGCAUUAAGGCACAAUAUACCCUAUAUGAGAUACUUUGGAAUGUCUAUUUUCACAAAUGGUAGGUGUUACAAAUGCUGGUAGUUAGGGUACCUAAUCCUCUCAAACUGCUGAGCCUUAGUGAUUAUAGCUGCAGUCCGGGUGUAGAUACGAAUAGUUCCAGACGAAUGCAGCUUCCAAGAAGUUUCUCUAGUUAUCCAAACAUGAGCCUAGACUUCAUGAAGGUACAACAGGAAUUAUGGUUUAUUGAUGCCACACUUUUAUGCAAGUCCCCAUGCAAGCAGACCUCCCACCUGGACCUUGUGGGGCAUCAGGACACAAAAGUUACAACCAAUAGCAUUACAUUAACAAUGUGAAACACUCCCACUGCAAACAUACAAUCCCCUCCUCUCUGCCUGUGAGAUAAUUAGGUAAGCUAAUGGAUAACCCAAUUAUCUCCUGGCAGAAAAAACAUUUUCCCAAAAACUUGGAACAUACCCUAAAACACAUGGUAUCCCCAUAAAUAGCCCCCCACAUAUCCUCUGAUAGCCCUGAUCUGGGUGACCAACAUAUUCAAAAAUCACCCUGAUUGGUUCAGGGGUUUUCGAAUUGUAUGGAAGUCUAAUUUUACCGACCGAUCUAUUUUGAUAAAGUCAAAUAAACAAAUGAAAACAUGAAUGGAGCCUACUGGCUCAUAGGAGCGAUUGUUCCCCUUGUUCGUGGGGACUAAACUACCGAACGGCGCUCUCCUAUCUGUUCGUGAAAAUAAAGCAAGCGUUCGUAUGUGUUUAGCGGUGUUCGGGAAGUCGAGUGUCCGAUUUUAGUUCCAGACACUUGACGACCAAGUCCCGCUGCCUCCUUUCGUGCAAACAAGAUGGCUGCCGUUUUCUCUUCCACGCGGCGUUCGACUAUACGAACAGCGGCCACCCAGAAAGAUCGCUCAAUUGACAGUUUCCUUUGUAGAUAAUGAGCCAGGGGGUUGGUCGGUGUUCGGUAGUCUAUCUAACUAACAAAACAUAAAAGUAACGAAUGGCCCUACAAAGUCAUGAAUGAAAAGUCUAUUUUCUUCACAGUAGGCCUUUGUGUUGUUUUUUUUAAAUAAUCAAACUGCUAUAAUGUCCCACAAUGAGACAUAAGCCCAGCAAAUCCAUCAACAUUCUCACUAUAAAACAAAAUAUUGGCAUGUUUUGGCAGUUAAAUUGCUAUGUAAAAGUGUCAAGACAUGGUUAGGUAAAUACCCUGUGAUGUUUACUGAUACUCUGUAAUGUCUACUAAUAAAACUAUAUACUUAUGUGUGGCAAUUUUGCAUUCUGUGAUGGCUAGUAAACUUGGAAGACAAGUAUACCACAUUCUAAAAUCAUUCCAUGUUAAAAUUGUUUUUUUGAUCUGUGACUUCCAAAGAUAAACUUAAAUCUUAUACAUAUACUUCAUCAGGACAAAUAAAUACAUUUAUGUCGAACUACUUUUCUUAAGGUGAACUAACUAUGUACACAUAAUUAUUGCCAAAACGUGUAAUAAGUUAUAAUAAUAUAUAACUGAAAUUGUAUAUAUGUAUAUGUCACGUCAAUAUCAAGCUAUUACUUUUUUUAAAUGGUAUAUGCUAUGUGCUAUUGUAAUAAAUGAGAAAGAUAAAAGUUGAACACAUGCAUAGCAACCAUGCCAUAAUUACUUUGGUCCUUAAAGGAACACUAUAGGGUCAGGAACACAAAC
rnacentral:lncRNA from 1 species